rnacentral:rRNA from 1 species
AUGACCGUUCAUGAGCAGGCCAACAUUAAACGCGCCGGUCGAGCACCUACCGUUCGCCCUCUAUUUAAACAAGGGCAGACGCUGGGCAAAAACCACACCCUUCCGCUGCUCCCCCAAUCUCCUCCUCCAUCACUCUUUCGAUGGCUUCCUAAGAGAAGUUUUCCAGCAUAUAAGCCGACAGGAUGUCCCGCCGAGCCCACUGGAUACGAGCGAGACAGCUCGAUGCUCAACCUCCGCGCCUCACCCGAAGGAGCAAGUUGCCACCCCCAAGCCGCCACGUGGUUCAACAACUCGCCACUCCAGGGCCACACGAUGAGGAGUGGCCAGUUGCUCCAUGCCAGCACGACGCACGAGCGUCAACGCUGCCGUCGAUGGUUGCGAUCCCUGUGUCUGCGGUCGCGCCCCUCAUGCAUGCGACUAUGCCUCUCGUGCGUGCGACUGCGCCAUGAAGGCAGAUGCAGAAGCCUGGUGUGCGGAAAGUGA